rnacentral:rRNA from 1 species
AUGGCUCAGGACGAACGCUGGCGGCGUGCUUCAUACAUGCAAGUCGAACGAGAAGCUGACUUCGGUCAGUGGAAAGUGGCGGACGGGUGAGUAAUAUGUAGGAAAUCUGCCCUAGAGAGGGGGACAACAGAGGGAAACUUCUGCUAAUACCCCAUAUGAGCUUAGUUGAAAUACUAAUCUUGAAAACUCCGGUGCUCUGGGAUGAGCCUGCAUCUGAUUAGCUAGUUGGCGGUGUAAUGGACCACCAAGGCGACGAUCAGUAGCUGGUUUGAGAGGAUGAUCAGCCACAAUGGGACUGAGACACGGCCCAUACUCCUACGGGAGGCAGCAGUAGGGAAUUUUGCGCAAUGGGCGAAAAAGCCUGACGCAGCAACGCCGCGUGAACGAUUAAGCCCUUCGGGGUGUAAAGUUCUGUCAGUGGGGACGAAACUUGACGGUACCCACAGAGGAAGCACCGGCUAACUCCGUGCCAGCCGCGGC